rnacentral:lncRNA from 10 species
GUUUAUUUAUUUGUUAAUAAAUAAUGCACAGAAUCACUAUAUAGCAAGACGCAUACAUUUCUAUUGCUGCAUUUUCAGUUUCCCUGUCUUUUUCUUCUUUCAUCUCCAUUCUGCUAUUAAGCCCAUCCACUAAAUUUUGCUGAUUUAAAAUAGUGUAUUUUUCAGUUCUCAAAUUUUCAUUUGAUUUUUUUACAGUUUUAAUUUUCCUUCUGAAAAUAAUCCUCUAAGGAGAUUGGAAAUUGGGCUGUCAUGGGAACAGGGUCGCUAAAGAAGCCAGAGUGGAGGCUGCAAGGAAUAUGGAUUUAAAUGAAUUUUGGCUGUACCAUCAAGCAGUCUGAUCACUGAGGAAAUAUCAAAAGCUUCACCCGAGUGACUCAUCACCCAAAUUCAACAGAGACUUGCCAAAGAAGCUGCUUAUUUCACAGAAGGACGGUGCUGGCUGAAAGAUGCUUCCUUGAAACUGAGAGACUGCUGCCUUAGACAGGUCUCCUUGAAGAGAUAUCAAACCUCACCAUGUCACUAUCUACUACCUUGGAGUCUGGAGAACACUGAAUGGAUGAAUGGAUGGAUGGACAAAAGGAUGAAAUAGAUGGAUUAAUGAACAUUAUCUGCUGACUGAUAUUCAAAGUCCUUAGCAUAUAGUCUUAGGUUUUCAAAGAGAGUCUGAGCCUGCAGAGCAAAGGAAUGGAAAAUUUGAGAGCUUUUUAUAAUAAGAAAGUGCAUGUCUUGUUAUAGACAUAUAAUGAAUAUAUGUAUUCUAAUAGCACCAUGCAAAUUGCCUGUGUUUAAGAAUACUUGAACUUUUGAAUAGCUCAUAAAGGGAAUGAAGAAAAAAGAAAAUUUGAGAGCUUUUUGAUGGC